UACGGAGGGUGCGAGCGUUGUCCGGAAUCACUGGGCGUAAAGGGCGCGUAGGUGGCCUGUGGAAGUCUGCGGUGAAAGCCCGGCGCUCAACGCCGGGUCGGCCGUGGAUACUCUCGGGCUUGAGCUUACUAGAGGCAGAUGGAAUUCCGGGUGUAGCGGUGGAAUGCGUAGAGAUCUGGAGGAAUACCGGUGGCCGAAGG
rnacentral:rRNA from 1 species